rnacentral:ncRNA from 1 species
GUGCAACCGGGCUGGUCUGCCGGGGAUUGCCCGAGGUGCUGCCACCUCUCCCCCGCCUCGUGCGGGGUCGGCCCCCGGAGACCAGCCCAUUACUC